GCGAGUCUGGCCGAGUGGUUAAGGCGUUGUGUUUAGGUCAGAUCUGGAGAGGUAUAUACUUGAACCGCAAUGGGCAUCGCCCGCGUAGGUUCGAUCCCUACGGCUCGCA
rnacentral:tRNA from 1 species